rnacentral:rRNA from 1 species
AUGAGCAGGUUGAAGGUGCAGUAACAUGCACUGGAGGCCCGAACCGUUGCACGUUGAAAAGUGCUCGGAUGACCUGUGUCUAGGGGUGAAAGGCCAAUCAAACUUGCUGAUAGCUGGUUCUCUGCGAAAUCUAUUUAGGUAGAGCGUUAGAUGAAUACCAUCGGGGGUAGAGCACUGGAUGGGCUAGGGGGUCUCACCGACUUACCAAACCUAACCAAACUCCGAAUACCGAUGAGUAAUAUCUGGCAGACACACUACGGGUGCUAAGGUCCGUAGUGGAAAGGGAAACAGCCCUGACCGCCAGCUAAGGUCCCUAAGUUAUCACUAAGUGGGAAACGAUGUGGGAAUGCUUAGACAACCAGGAGGUUGGCUUAGAAGCAGCCAUCCUU